UUACGUCAGGUCAAAGUGCAGCCCAUGAGAUAGGAGAUGAUGGGUUACACCCUUAAUAAAGAUACAAAUUAGAUUACUAAAAAUUCUAUGAAGGUGGACUUGGUUGUAACUGUUAUUCAAUAUUACAAUGAAAACGAAUCUAAGAUAUGCACACAUCGCCCGUCACUCUCGCUUAUAAGGCGAGAUAAGUCGUAACAAAGUAGAUGUAACGGAAGUUGCAUCUGU
rnacentral:rRNA from 1 species